rnacentral:rRNA from 1 species
UGGGGAAUCUUGCGCAAUGGCCGAAAGGCUGACGCAGCGACGCCGCGUGGGGGAUGAAGGUUUUCGGAUCGUAAACCCCUGUUGCCCGGGACGAACGACCCUUUUCGAGGGGUGUGACGGUACCGGGUGAGGAAGCACCGGCUAACUCCGUGCCAGCAGCCGCGGUAAUACGGAGGGUGCGAGCGUUGUCCGGAAUCACUGGGCGUAAAGGGCGCGUAGGCGGCUUGGGCG